UACGUAGGCAGCGAGCGUUGUUCGGAAUUACUGGGCGUAAAGCGUGUGUAGGCGGACUUCUAAGUGCCUUGUGAAAUCCCACGGCUCACCCGUGGAACUGCUGGGCAUACUGGGAGUCUUGAGCCACCUAGGGGCGAGCGGAACAAAUGGUGGAGCGGUGAAAUGCGUAGAUAUCAUUUGGAACGCCAACGGAGAAAUCAGCUCGCUGGGGGUGUGCUGACGCUGAGACACGAAAGCCAGGGGAGCGAACGGG
rnacentral:rRNA from 1 species